GUGGGGAAUAUUGGACAAUGGGCGCAAGCCUGAUCCAGCCAUGCCGCGUGUGUGAAGAAGGCCUUCGGGUUGUAAAGCACUUUUGUCCGGGAAGAAAUCUUCCAGGUUAAUACCCUGGGAGGCUGACGGUACCGGAAGAAUAAGCACCGGCUAACUUCGUGCCAGCAGCCGCGGUAAUACGAAGGGUGCAAGCGUUACUCGGAAUUACUGGGCGUAAAGCGUGCGUAGGUGGUUCGUUAAGUCUGCCGUGAAAGCCCCGGGCUCAACCUGGGAAUGGCGGUGGAUACUGGCGGGCUAGAGUGCGGUAGAGGGUGGUGGAAUUCCCGGUGUAGCAGUGAAAUGCGUAGAGAUCGGGAGGAACAUCUGUGGCGAAGGCGGCCACCUGGACCAGCACUGACACUGAGGCACGAAAGCGUGGGGAGCAAACAGGAUUAGAAACCCCGGUAGUCC
rnacentral:rRNA from 1 species